CCUACGGGGGUCAGCAGUGGGGAAUAUUGCGCAAUGGGCGAAAGCCUGACGCCGCGACGCCGCGUGAGGGAUGAAGGUCUUCGGAUCGUAAACCUCUGUCAGCAGGGAAGAACGGUCACUGUGCUAAUCAGCAGUGAAUUGACGGUACCUGCAAAGGAAGCACCGGCUAACUCCGUGCCAGCAGCCGCGGUAAUACGGAGGGUGCGAGCGUUAAUCGGAAUUACUGGGCGUAAAGCGCUCGUAGGCGGUAUGUCAAGUCAAGGGUGAAAUCCCCGCGCUCAACGUGGGAACUGCCUUUGAAACGGGCAAACUUGAGUGUGUGAGAGGAUAGUGGAAUUGCAGGUGUAGGAGUGAAAUCCGUAGAUAUCUGGAGGAACAUCAGUGGCGAAGGCGACUAUCUGGCACAUAACUGACGCUGAGGAGCGAAAGCGUGGGUAGCAAACAGGAUUAGAUACCCGGGUAGUC
rnacentral:rRNA from 1 species